rnacentral:lncRNA from 1 species
GAGACGGUUCGGGGAUCUGGGGGUGGGGGCGUGAGAGGAGUGGAGGGAGGGAGGGAGAGAGAGGGAGGGAGAGAGAGAGAGAGAGAGAGCGAGCGAGUGAGCGAGGAUGGAGGCGGGGGAGGGGAGCGGAGGAGAAGGAGGGAGAGAAUGAGAGCUGCGGGUUGAUCUCUCCUGGCUCAGUAUGGGGUGCCCGGCUGCUGCCAGCUGUCUGUCGGUGGGCAGCAGUCAUGUGACACAGCUCUGCCAACAGUGACAUCACAGGAUCAGUUACCGCAGGCGACAGGAAAGGGGGGAGGGGCAACAGCGGAGCUUUCUAGACAGUUCUCAGCCUAAAUACUGCAGUUGUGCGACUCUGUGUGUGUGUGUGUGUCUUCUGGUCUGGCAAGUGUGAUCGAGUGCAUGUGUGUGUGUGUGUGUGUGUGUGUGUGUGUGUGUGUGUGUGUGUGUGUGUGUGUGCGCGUGCGUGUGUGCGUGGGAAAGCCUGUGGGAUUAAAUAAUGCUGGAAAGAGCUAAAGAUCCACUGUGUGGGGGGUAGGUGGGAGGCUAGCUGUGGCCCAAACACACCAGGGGACCUUGGGUGGAGCGCCGCAUGUUCCGCAGAACCACUGUGGCUCGCGAAAACGUCCCUCGACGGCAACUCUGUCCUCAAGGCCAUCGCCCCGUGAAAAGUACUCGGGAACAUCCAGUACAAUGGCAGGAACAGUAGAGGACAAGGUUUUGGCAUUUGAUCAGGAGUAGAAGGAGCCAGACUGGGCCAACCGGGCCCUUCCUGCAUUUGCUCUAUUUAAAUGAAGAGCAGCAGACCGAGAUCAUUGAAGACAUUCAGCGGGAAUUGCUUAAACUAAACAUUCAGCUGGAGGGCAACAACGCCAUCCGGGGGAGCGUGGACUGCGGGAGUGGCAACAGAACAGUCAGUGGGAGCUUCGACAGCAGAGAGGUCAGCAAGACUACAUACCCGAGGAGUACUGUAAACCACAGCAUAGGGAGGUAGCAACCCUCCUUCAGCAGGAGAACCUAGGUCAGCUCUGUGUGUGCCCCUGGUGCAG